UUUAUAGGCGAAGGAGCUAUGGCAGGGGAGGCCCAGGGAGCCCACAAGCCUCUGAGGCGUGCCCCCAGGCCGCGCCAUGAGAGGUUGUGGCCUCCCCCGGGACUCCCUGCCUUGGUUCCCAAGCUUUCUGUGUAUCUUAUGUUCCGGAAAAAAAAUCUUUUCAGAAGUUUUAUUCCAUUUGGACUCCGUUCAAAAUCCACCUAUGAAAAGUGUCAAAAACACGGAAAAAAUAAGAACUGGCACUUGGCACUGAGUUAAUAAGUUAGUCCCAGAAAAGAUAUAAAAGGCAUACAAAACAUCCAAAGUUUGACAAGACCAAGCUUAACUCCUGCUCGUCCUCGGGUAGGGAAGUGAUAAAGACUGAAUUUUUGAUGUGGAAUGCUACCUAUCAUAGUUUUCCUUUGCAACUUCUUUCAUGUGACAUGAAUGUUCAGAUCCGUAAGAUUCAAAACAAUAGUUUGCUAUUGACAUGAAAACAAUAAUACUU
rnacentral:lncRNA from 1 species